rnacentral:rRNA from 1 species
GACGAACGCUGGCGGCGUGCUUAACACAUGCAAGUCGAACGGAAAGGCCCUGCUUUUGUGGGGUGCUCGAGUGGCGAACGGGUGAGUAACACGUGAGUUACCUGCACUUGACUUUGGGAUAACUUCAGGAAAAUGGGGCUAAUACCGGAUAGGAGCUACUGCUGCAUGGUGGGGGUUGGAAAGUUUCGGCGGUUGGGGAUGGACUUGCGGCCUACCGGCUUGUUGGUGGGGUAGUGGCUUACCAAGGCUUUGACGGGUAGCCUGUCUGAGAGGGUGGCCGGCCACACUGCAUCGGAGAUACGGCCCGGACUCCUACGGGAGGCAGCGGUGGAGAGGAUUGCACAAUGGGCGGAGGCCUAAUGCAACAACGCCGCGUCGGGUAUAACAUGCAUCGGUUAGUAAACCACUAUCGCCUGUCACGAAGCGUGAGUGACGGUAAUGGGUAAAGAAGCACCGGCUAACUACGUG